GCCUGGGUGGCUCAGUCAGUUAAGCAUCUGACUUCAGCUUAGGUCAUGAUCUCACAGUUUGUGAGUUUGAGCCCCACACCAGGCU
rnacentral:tRNA from 1 species